rnacentral:rRNA from 1 species
UGGGGGAUAUUGCACAAUGGGCGAAAGCCUGAUGCAGCGACGCCGCGUGGGGGAUGAAGGCCUUCGGGUUGUAAACUUCUUUUGCUCUGAACAAGGCGCACUUUGGGGUGUGUUGAGUGUAGGGGUUGAUUAGCGCCGGCUAACUACGUGCCAGCAGCCGCGGUAAUACGUAGGGCGCGAGCGUUGUCCGGAAUUAUUGGGCGUAAAGGGCUUGUAGGUGGCUGGUUGCGUCUGUCGUGAAAGCUCAUGGCUUAACUGUGGGUUUGCGGUGGGUACGGGCUGGCUUGAGUGCAGUAGGGGAGGCUGGAAUUCCUGGUGUAGCGGUGGAAUGCGCAGAUAUCAGGAGGAAUACCGGUGGCGAAGGCGGGUCUCUGGGCUGUUACUGACACUGAGGAGCGAAAGCAUGGGGAGCGAACAGG